AAACGUCGAGCCCUCCCUCCUUCUUACUCUUAUAAACGGUCUUCCAAGCGACCAAACAUCCCUUGCCAGAUGCAUUAUCACUUCCCUUCUAGAAAAAGUUUCUACGAAGAGCUUCAAUACGCUUAAUUACCCACUUAGGUGCCAAGAACACUGACAAAAAAUAUAAAGGUAGAUUUGUUAGGACAGCAUUCACCAAAAUAAGUCUGCCCCCUGUUAUGUACCUGACUCGGCACAACCCGUCGAGGAUGAGAUGUCGCUGAGACGUUGGACGGCGCCGAGGAUGAUGGAUCACGUAACUGCUUGACUCGGAUCAGAUUUGGACCCGAAUCGUGAUUGCUGUGAAUAAGAAGGUAAAGAAAGAAUAGAAAAAGAGGAACAGGAAGAAUGAAAAGAGGGAAAAGAAAGAGAAAGAUUAAGAGGGAUUAAGGGGAUGGAAGGGAAGAUGAGGAAGAAGAAAGUUUCAUUAAUAUUUUCCUAAUUUAUUUGAUUACACGCUGCCCUUUUAUUCUCAACAAUAGAAUAGAAACAAAACCCUAAUCCUAAUUGGACUAUCCCAAGCUCUGUUGCUUCCCGCCACUAGCGCAGCCUUUCUCUGGGCCUUUUCCUGAAGUUAUGGGCCCCCUGCGUGGGCCUCUUCAUUGGGUCACCUCCGGAUGGCUUGUCGGGUCCGCCCUUCUUCACGCCCGGAUCCAUCAGAACUGACUAGAACCUCAGAACGGUCGGCUGCCCUAGCCUCCUCGUCCGUUCGCCCCCUUCUUCCCCUCACUACCAUCGCCCUCAUCUCCACCGAUACCUCCCUCACUGCGGUCUUCCCCCAGACUCCAUGAUUGACGGUUGAAGCUUCACAACCUGAGACUUGAAGUAAAGAAAAGCUAAGCCUCCUCUCUACCCUUACUUUUAUUCUAACUAUCCUACUAUACUCUACUCCUAAUCCUCCUAUUUUACUUGGCAGGCGUGACAAUCCUCCCCACUUAAGCUGAUCCUUGCCCUCAAGGAUCAAAAGAUGGAUAUUGGCUUUUUAGGAACCAAUAAUCUUCCCACGUUGCGAGAUCCCUCGAAAGAUUUGCCCAUUUCACCAACACUUCGGUCACUGCUCGAUUCCCACGCUUCACCGUUCUCCUUUCCAAAAUCUCUUCAGGUUCGACUCUCAACUCUUCUUCGUCUCCAAUAGUGGGAGCCAUAGGUGAUGCCUGGACUGAUAAUGGCGGGCUCUUCUUUAACAGGGAAACAUGGAACACCGGAUGAACCCGCGAUCCUUCGGGUAACUGCAGUUUAUACGCGACGGUCCCAACGCGCUCCAAUAUCUUAAAAGGACCAAAAAAACGUGCUGUAAGUUUGACAUUUUUCCUUAUCGCCACGGUGGUUUGCCGAUAAGGUUGUAGCUUAAGGUAAACCCAAUCUCCCACUGCGAACUCCUUCUCUUUCCUGUGCUUGUCUGCCUGUUGCUUCAUUCUGCUUUGGGCUACUUGCAAUCGAUCCCUCAAUUCCCUAGUCAGCUUCUCCCUUUCCGUAGCCCAUUCUUUAAACUCCUGUGAGGUAGCUGUCUCCACAGCGGCCACCAGGUAGUUCGGAGGAGGUUGCCCAUAUAAUGCCUCGAAUGGAGUCAUACCCAAGGAUGAGUGGAAAUUAGUAUUAUACCACCAUUCGGCUAACGCUAACCACGAGUGCCAUUUUUUUGGAUGUUGGAAACACAAACACCUCAAGUAAGUUUCCAAACACCUAUUAACCCUUUCGGUUUGCCCGUCGGUCUCCGGGUGAUAGGCUGAGCUCAUAUGCAGUUUGGUCCCCAAGGAUUGGAAAAGCUCUCUCCAAAAUUGACUUACAAAUAUCUUGUCCCUAUCAGAAACAAUCCUCUUGGGACAUCCGUGAAGUUUAUAGAUAGUUCCCAUAAAAGCCUUAGCUACAUCCGACGCGGUAAAUGGGUGUUUGAGCGAUAUAAAAUGGGCAUAUUUUGUGAGUCUGUCAACUACUACCAUGAUAGUAUCGCAUCCUUCCGAUUUCGGUAAUGAUUCAAUGAAAUCGAUACUUACGUCUUCCCAAAUUCGGUGAGGGAUAGGCAAUGGCUGCAGUAAUCCAGCGUAGGGUGUUCCAUCUACCUUGUUUUGAGCGCAAACAGUGCACUUUUUGACCCAUUCUGCAACAUCUCUUCUCAAUCCCUGCCAAAAGAAGUGUUGUUUAACUCUCCGAUAUGUAUUCUGGAUACCUGAAUGUCCUCCCAUGGCAGAGUUAUGCAUUUGAUCCAAUAUGCUAUCUCUAAUAGAUCCGGUCUGCCCCACAUAUAGCCUUCCCUUGUGACGCAGCAACUCAUUGCCAUAAGUGUAUGGCCCUGAAGGGUUCGGCUGUAAGGUUAACUCGUAUAUUGUUUUCUCACAGUGGGGGUCUUCUUUGUAACUAGCCACCACUUCUCGCACCCAGGUUGGUACGACCGCUGAGAUAGCUAAGAUAACUCCUUCUUCUCUUCUAGAUAGUGCGUCAGCUGCUGCAUUCUCUUUACCCUUCUUAUACUGAAUUGUGUAAUUCAGUCCCAUCAUCUUAAGCAUGCCUUUCUGUUGCAUGGGUGUGGAUAUCCUUUGCUCCAAGAGGUGUUUUAGACUCUCGUGAUCUGUUUUUAUCACAAAUGUACCGGUGCCAAUAUAGUGUUUCCACUUUUGUACCGCCAUAAGUAUAGCCAGGAAUUCCUUUUCAUAGGUUGACAAUCCCAUAUGCUUACCGCCAAUGGCCUUGCUCAAGUAGGCAAUGGGUCUACCUCCUUGUGAUAAUACUGCCCCAAUCCCUGUGCCACAAGCAUCCACCUCGAUAGUAAAUGGCUCACUAAAGUUAGGCAUAGCUAGUACUGGGGCCUUUGUCAUAGACACCUUUAAUUCUUCAAAAGCUGUUUGUGCCUCUCUAUUCCAGCUGAAUUGAUCCUUUUUAAGUAAAUCAGUUAGGAGCUUACUGAUUUUACCAUAUCCCUUGAUGAAUUUCCUAUAAUAUCCGGUGAAACCUAGAAACCCACGUAGUUCCUUGACCGACUUAGGCACGGGCCAGCUAGUCAUAGCUUCAAUUUUGGACGGAUCGGUGGCCACUCCCUCUUCUGAAAUUAUAUGACCCAAAUACUCCACCCUGUUCUGUCCAAAGUAGCAUUUACUUCGCUUCGCAUAAAAUUUAUUCCUUCUCAAUUCUUCCAACGUGAUGCGCAAGUGCCUUUCAUGAUCCUUCAUGUUCUUACUGUAGAUUAGAAUGUCAUCAAAGAAAACCAGAAUAAAUUUCCUCAAAUACGGUUCAAAUGUGCAAUUCAUCACAGCUUGAAAUGUGGCAGGAGCGUUCGUAAGACCGAACGGCAUGACUAGAAACUCGUAAUGCCCUUGAUGCGUCCGAAAUGCAGUUUUAUGAAUGUCAGCAGGAUUCAUCCGAAUUUGAUGAUAGCCCGAUCUGAGGUCUAUCUUCAAAAAACACCUUGACCCGCCCAAUUCAUCUAGCAGGUCGUCUAUAAUCGGUAUUGGGAACUUGUCCUUCACCGUGCAUUUGUUAAGCUGUCGAUAAUCUAUACACAUUCUCCAACUCCCAUCCUUCUUUUUGACCAAUAGGGCGGGGGAAGCAAAGGGACUAUUACUCCGCUGAAUGAUCUCAUGGCUCAAUAAUUCUUUUAUCUGUUUUUCAAUCUCCUCCUUUUGAUCAUGUGAAUACCGAUAUGGUCGAAUGUUAACCGGUGUCGUGUUGGAUUGUAAAGGAAUCUUGUGAUCCUGGAUUCGAGGUGGGGGUAACUCCCGUGGCUCCUCGAACACAUCCUGGAACUCCUCCAGAAGCUGUUGGAUCCCUGGAGUUAGGUUGACUCCCUGUUCGGCCUCUUCUGAUAACGCUUGGUGCCUGAGGAGAUAACAUUCCCCUUUCUCGAUCUCUUGCCUCCACUGAGCUGCAGAGAUUAAGCUCAAUUUAGCUCCUUCGUCAAUCCCCUUCAACUCAAGCUUUUGUCCCUCCUUCAUGAUCACGACUGAGUUGGAUAAGAAAUCAAAAGUUACUAAUCCAUAAGAUUUGAGCCAAUCGAUUCCUAACACCACAUUCGAGCCUUCGAUUCUGAUUACUCUCAAGUCAGUUUGAAAAGAGUGUCCUUGCAUAGUCCAGGUAAAUCCGGGGCAUCUGAGCUUACUCAAAACCUUGUGCCCAUUUGCUACUGUCACCGUCAGAGGUGGCGCUGCUUCCAUCCGUGCUCCUAUUUCUUGGGCUACUUGCAGGUCGAUGAAGCUGUGCGUGCUUCCCGUGUCUACCAAGAUGGUAAGGGCCCGAUUGUUGGUCUCCCCUCGUAUCUUAAUGGUAUCCUGGGGUAUCUCUCCACACAAGGCAUGUACAGAAACUCCGAUUUCCUACCGAUCCUCGCCGCCAGGUAUAAUUUCAACUUCCUCCCCUUCUCUCCCCGCGAUUGCCCCUUCACUAUUUCCUGUUUGCAAGCAAUCUUCAUCAUAAACCUCCAUAAUGUUGUCAGUAGCUUGUAGAAUGUUCAGAGAUUUGUUUGAACACACAUGCCCCUGGUGAUACUUAUCUCCACACCGAAAACACAGCCCUGCUGCUCGACGUUGCUCCAUUAAUUGCUUGUUGAUCUGGUAAGGGUUCGCAGCAGUUUUGUUUUGAUUUUGGUUUGCCUGCUUGUUUCCCACCGAGCUCUUAAACAGUGAGUUCGAUUGAUACGAUCUCGGAGUAUAUCUACUCUUUCGAUUGAUCACUGUAAUAGCCCUUUCAUGUAACUGUGCUUGUUCGUAGGCUUCUUCUAAUGAGUUAGGAUGAGCGAUGUCAAGAAAGGGAACUAAUUCUUCCUUGAGCCCGUUAAUAAAGCAUGCAAUAAAAUACUCCUCCGAUAAGUGUGGGUUGUAAUGGAGCAACUGGAAUCUCAGUUCCUCGAACCUUUCUUGAUAUUUCUCGCAAGUCCCUGUGUGCUUCAAGUUACUGAACUCUCGAAUUAGAUAUCUCUCCCCCAUAUGUGAAAAUCUUCUACAUAUAGCUUCGGUGAACUCGUCCCAAGAAACGAGUUGUUUGUUAAUAAAAUACCCUUGUUUCCAAGUUCUUGCCUUACCGAUUAAGUGCAUGGUUGCUACACUUAGCCAUUGAUGCUGGGGUAUCUGAUACAGUUCAAAAUAUUGCUCGCAAUUUUCGAUCCAAUUUCGAGGGUCAUCACCAUCAAAGGAAGGAAAAUCCAGUUUCGGGUAAGGUAAUUGGUAAUGAUUGUGUUUGUUGACCCAUGGUGAGCUAUGAUUCUCUUCCUCUUCAAUUUGCCGCAGCGGCGUUGGUAAAAUUCCCUUGCCUUUAUCCGUUUUGAUCGCUAUUGGUGUUCUACUGCUUCCAGGGUUGCCGCAUUGUGGGAAUUUCCCUUCGAGAGGGCUUGCUGUAUCUGGGCUCUUGAGUGGAGGUGGCUUAGCUGCGAACAGCUUGAGCAGCUCCUCGUGCCUUUUGGUUGCUUCAAUCCGCAUUGCUUCGAAUUGCCUUUCCCCGGACUUCUUGACUUCGGCUAACUGUCGGUUGAGUACCUCAAUCUCGGCCUGAUGCUCAGUUCCUAGUUUCUGGAACUGCUCCUCUAAAGUACGUAUAUGAUCACUGAGAUCUCUCAACCUAGUCCCCUCAGCCAUCUCUAUCUCAUCAAGAUAUUCUUUUGGGUUAAAUCUAAACUUGUUGCCUCGUUUACCCCCAAUCUUGCUAAAAUCCGAGAAUGAUUGAAUGUAUUUCGAGCGUGAUUCGGCACAGGGUUGUUACUGUGGUGGUUUCCUUUGUCCAAACCCGAUCUCGGAUCAGAUUUGGCAGCGCGGAAAUCUUUUCGCGAUUAAACUCGACAAUACUCGAUCGGAGUUAAGAAGCAAUUUCACCACACAACGCCCUGGGGUCGUACCGCUCUGAUACCAAUUGUUACGUACCUGACUCGGCGCAACCCGUCGAGGAUGAGAUGUCGCUGAGACGUUGGACGGCGCCGAGGAUGAUGGAUCACGUAACUGCUUGACUCGGAUCAGAUUUGGACCCGAAUCGUGAUUGCUGUGAAUAAGAAGGUAAAGAAAGAAUAGAAAAAGAGGAACAGGAAGAAUGAAAAGAGGGAAAAGAAAGAGAAAGAUUAAGAGGGAUUAAGGGGAUGGAAGGGAAGAUGAGGAAGAAGAAAGUUUCAUUAAUAUUUUCCUAAUUUCUUUGAUUACACGCUGCCCUUUUAUUCUCAACAAUAGAAUAGAAACAAAACCCUAAUCCUAAUUGGACUAUCCCAAGCUCUG
rnacentral:lncRNA from 1 species